CUCACGGUCUCACGGUAUUGCAAUGAGAACAAUUUAAAACACUUAGCGAGGAUCAAGUGGAGGACAAGUCUGGUGCCAGCACCCGCGGUAAUUCCAGCUCCACUAGCGUAUAUUAAAGUUGUUGCAGUUAAAAAGCUCGUAGUUGAACCUCUGUCUGGGGCUAAUUUUGGCUUAGGUCAGGUUAGUUCUAGGCAUCCGCCUACAAGACUUAGAGGGCAUUUACUUGUUCACUAGGAGGAGUAGGCAUUUUACUUUGAAAAAAUUAGAGUGUUUAAGGCAGGCAAUAGCUCGCAUAUAUUAGCAUGGAAUAAUAGAAUAGGACACUUUUCCAUUUCGUUGGUUAUUGGAAUCGUGUAAUGAUUAAUAGGGACAGUUGUGGGCAUUUGUAUUUAAUUGUCAGAGGUGAAAUUCUUGGAUUUAUUAAAGACAAACUAACGCGAAAGCAUUUGCCAAGGAUGUUUUCAUUAAUCAAGAACGAAAGUUAGGGGAUCAAAGACGAUCAGAUACCGUCCUAGUCUUAACUAUAAACUAUUCCGACUCAAUGUUUGACUGGCUUAUAUAACCAGUUGAGCGUUGUAUGAGAAAUCAAAGUCUUUAGGUUCUGGGGGGAAUAUGGUUGCAAAGCUGAAACUUAAAGGAAUUGACGGAAGAGCACAACCAGGAGUGGAUUCUGCGGCUUAAUUUGACUCAACACGGGGAAACUUACCAGGUUAAAACAAUAGUGGGAUUGACAGUUUGAGAGCGCUUUCUUGAUUUGUUGGGUGGUGGUGCAUGGCCGUUCUUAGUUGGUGGAGUGAUUUGUCUGCUUAAUUGCGUUAACGAACGAGACCUUAACCUGCUUACUAGACUAAUGAUCAGUAAUCGUUAGCUCUUCUUAGAGGGACUUUGGUUGUUUUAACUCCAAGGAAGUUUGAGGCAAUAACAGGUCUGUGAUGCCCUUAGAUAUCCUGGGCCGCACGCGUCAUACAAUGACUAGUUCAGAAAGUUUUCUCCUGACCCGGAAGGGGAUGGGUAAUCUUGAUAAUACUAGUCGUGUUAGGGAUCGAUCUUUGCAAUUAUAGAUCUUGAACGAGGAAUUCCUAGUAAGUGCGGUUCAUCAGACCGUACUGAUUACGUCCCUGCUCUUUGUACACACCGCCCGUCGCUUCUACCGAGUGGGUGGUCCGGUGAGAUACUUGAACUUCUUAAGCAAUUGAGAGGAAAGAUUAUCAAACCUAUCCACCUCGA
rnacentral:rRNA from 1 species